rnacentral:tRNA from 1 species
GCCUGGGUGGCUCAGUCGGUUAAGCAUCCGACUUUGGCUCGGGUCAUGAUCUCGCAGUUUGUGAGUUUGAGCCUCAUAUCGGGCU